rnacentral:rRNA from 1 species
CCUACGGGUGGCAGCAGUGGGGAAUAUUGCACAAUGGGGGGAACCCUGAUGCAGCGAUGCCGCGUGAGUGAAGAAGUAUUUCGGUAUGUAAAGCUCUAUCAGCAGGGAAGAAAAUGACGGUACCUGAGUAAGAAGCCCCGGCUAACUACGUGCCAGCAGCCGCGGUAAUACGUAGGGGGCAAGCGUUAUCCGGAUUUACUGGGUGUAAAGGGAGCGUAGACGGCAGUGCAAGUCUGAAGUGAAAGGCGGGGGCUCAACCCCCGGACUGCUCUGGAAACUGUCCGGCUGGAGUGCAGGAGAGGUAAGUGGAAUUCCUAGUGUAGCGGUGAAAUGCGUAGAUAUUAGGAGGAACACCAGUGGCGAAGGCGGCUUACUGGACUGUAACUGACGUUGAGGCUCGAAAGCGUGGGGAGCAAACAGGGUUAGAUACCCGAGUAGUC